rnacentral:rRNA from 1 species
GACGAACGCUGGCGGCGUGCCUAAUACAUGCAAGUAGAACGCAGUUUCGAACGGGUGAGUAACGCGUAGGUAACUGCCUCAUAGCGGGGGAUAACUAUUGGAAACGGUAGCUAAUACCGCAUACUGUGAGAUGGACCUGCGUGUUAGUAGCCAGUUGGUGAGGUAAAGGCUCACCAAGGCCACGAUACAUAGCCGGCCUGAGAAGGGGAACGGCCAAACUGGGACUGAGACACGGCCCAGACUUCUACGGGAGGCAGCAGGAGGGAAUAGUUGGCAAUGGACGGAAGUCUGACCGAGCAACGCCGCGUGAGUGAAGAAGGGUUUCGGAUCGUAAAGCUCUGUUGUUAGAGAAACGGUAACUAACCAGAAAGGGACGGCUAACUACGUGCCAGCAGCCGCGGUAAUAC